rnacentral:rRNA from 1 species
AAAAGAAACUAACCAGGAUUCCCUUAGUAGCGGCGAGCGAAGCGGGAAAAGCCCAAUAUGAAAAGCCUUUUUGGCAUUGUAUUUGAGCAGUCUGGAGGCGUCAGUUCAGGAAAGUGGCAUGGAAAUGUCCGCCGUGGAGGGUGAAAGCCCCGUCCAUCCUGGACAGGACGUCCUCGUACAGGACUGUUUCAGUCGAGUCGGGUAGCUUGGGAAUGCUGCUCUAAUCGGUGGUAAAUCUCAUCGAAGGCUAAAUACUGGUGGGAGACCGAUAGCGAACAAGUACCGUGAGGGAAAGUUGAAAAGGCACUUUGAAAAGAGAGUGAAAAGAACCUGAAACCGUUAUGGGGGAAGCGAAUUGCGUUGGAAUGAAUGGUUAUUGACUGAUCAGCCCGUUUUGUUGGUGCAUUGAGUCAAUAGCUUAUCUGCCGUGGGUUUCGGUUGGCCGAUUUUGGGCCGGUCGAGGCUGAGGGCUCCGCGUAAGCGUGAGGACGGCAGAGGGACGACGCGAUUCGACCCGUCUUGAAACACGGACCAAGGAGUCUAGCGCAGCUGCGAGUCAAAGGGUGUUAAAACCUGAGGGCGCAGUGAAAGCGAGUUUUGAAAACGAGCAGUUUGAGGCGGCAUACAAUCGUUGAUUGUAGGUCCGACCUAGAGCAGUUGCGCUGGGACCCGAAAGAUGGUGAACUAUGCCGGAGUAGGGCGAAGCCAGAGGAAACUCUGGUGGAGGCUCGUAGCGGUGCUGACGUGCAAAUCGCUCGUCCAACUCGGGUAUAGGGGCGAAAGACUAAUCGAACCAUCUAGUAGCUGGUUCCCUCCGAAGUUUCUCUCAGGAUAGCGGGCCGACUGACGUUGUUUUGUGCGGUAAAGCGAAUGAUUAGCGCACUCGGGGACGUUUAGUCUUCGGGCGAUUCUCAAACUUUCAAUGCGCAAGGGUGCCGCUGCUUUAUUGAGCGGCACCGGCAAAAACGUCGGCCCCGUGGGCCACUUUUGGUAAGCAAGAACUGGCGAUACGGGAUGAACCGUAAGCGUGGUUAAGGCGCCAAAUUGCCCGCUUAAAGAACCCAAAAAAGGUGUUGAUUCAUCGAGACAGCAGGACGGUGGCCAUGAAGUCGGAAUCCGCUAAGGAGUGUGUAACAACUCACCUGCCGAAUGAAUUAGCCCUGAAAAUGGAUGGCGCUUAAGCGGGUAGCCGACACCACGCCGUCUGAACAAAGUGGUUUUCAGAUGAGUAGGAGGGCGUGGCGGUCGUGAGGAAGCGUGCGUGCGAACGCGCGUGAAACGGCCGCUAGUGCAGAUCUUGGUGGUAGUAGCAAAUAUUCAAGCGAGAUCCUUGAAGGGCGAAGCGGGGAAGGGUUCCACGCGAACAUUGAUUGGGCGUGGGUGAGUCGUUCCUAAGCCGAGUGGCCAUUGCUAAAUAACGGCGAAAGGGAAGCGGGUUGACAUUCCCGCACACGGAUGUGGAGGCGGCGACGCCUUAUUGGGGUGAUUACGCUGGCGGUGGCGCUGGGCAGAGUUGUCUUUUCUGUUUGACCGCGUUGUGUGCGCUGUGUGGAAUCCGCUUGUCGGGAGAAACACGCGUGCACGGGCAGAGCGCCGGGGCUUUUCCGGCGUCCAGCUCGCCACCGACGGCCCUUGAAACAUCACCUGCUGGACAACGAUUUUGUUGUUUGUAAAAUCCACGCCGUGGCGUACCGAUCACCGCAUCAGGUCCCCAAGGUGAACAGCCUCUGCUCGAUAUGAACAAUGCAGGUAAGGGAAGUCGGCAAAUUGGACCCGUAACUUUGGGAAAAGGGUUGGCUCUAGUGCUGCGUGGGACUGGUUGUCGUGUCUGCUGGCGGUUUCCGGGGGUGCGGAUUGCGGUUCGGGGCCUUUGGUUCUGUGCUGUGUCUGUGCCACUAGAUUCUGCCGCUCGCGACGACGCCCACAGCAUGCAGCAGACUAGAACUGCAACGGGCAAAGGGAAUCCGACUGUUUAAUUAAAACAAAGCAUUGCGAAGGCCGUGGCCGGUGUUGACGCAAUGUGAUUUCUGCUCAGUGCUCUGAAUGUCAAAGUGAAGAGAUUCAAUCAAGCGCGGGUAAACAGCGGGAGUAACUAUGACUCUCUUAAGGUAGCCAAAUGCCUCGUCAUCUAAUUAGUGACGCGCAUGAAUGGAUUAACGAGAUUCCUACUGUCCCUAUCUGCUUCUAGCGAAACCACAGCCGAGGGAACGGGCUCGGCGAAAUCGGCGGGGAAAGAAGACCCUGUUGAGCUUGACUCUAUUCUAAUUUUGUGAAACAAGUUGGGAGGUGUAGCAUAGGUGGGAGUGCUUGCACGUCCGUGAAAUACCACUACUCCCAGUCUUGUUUUACUUACUGGGUUGGUGUGGGUGAGUCUUAUGACUCUUUUUUAGAACCAACGUCCGUUAAGGGCAGACCACCGCCCAGUACACAUUUAGGAGGGGAGUUUGGCUGGGGCGGCACAUCUUCUACAAGACAACGAAGGUGUCCUAAGAUGAGCUCAGUGAGAACAGAAAUCUCACGUAGCGCAAAAGGGUAAAAGCUCGUUUGAUUUUGAUUUUCAGUGCGAGUCGAAAACGCGAAAGCGUGGCCUAUCGAUCCUUUCACGAUUCGAGAUUUGAAGCGAGAGGUGUCAGAAAAGUUACCACAGGGAUAACUGGCUUGUGGCGGCCAAGCGUUCAUAGCGACGUCGCUUUUUGAUCCU